GACGAACGCUGGCGGCGUGCUUAACACAUGCAAGUCGAACGGAAAGGCCCUGCUUUUGUGGGGUGCUCGAGUGGCGAACGGGUGAGUGACACGUGAGUAACCUGCCCUUGACUUUGGGAUAACUUCAGGAAACUGGGGCUAAUACCGGAUAGGAGCUCCUGCUGCAUGGUGGGGGGUGGAAAGUUUCGGCGGUUGGGGAUGGACUCGCGGCUUAUCAGCUUGUUGGUGGGGUAGUGGCUUACCAAGGCUUUGACGGGUAGCCGGCCUGAGAGGGUGACCGGCCACAUUGGGACUGAGAUACGGCCCAGACUCCUACGGGAGGCAGCAGUGGGGAAUAUUGCACAAUGGGCGGAAGCCUGAUGCAGCAACGCCGCGUGCGGGAUGACGGCCUUCGGGUUGUAAACCGCUUUCGCCUGUGACGAAGCGUGAGUGACGGUAAUGGGUAAAGAAGCACCGGCUAACUACGUG
rnacentral:rRNA from 1 species